rnacentral:rRNA from 1 species
AGAGUUUGAUCAUGGCUCAGAUUGAACGCUGGCGGCAGGCCUAACACAUGCAAGUCGAGCGGCAGCGGGGGGAAGCUUGCUUCCCCGCCGGCGAGCGGCGGACGGGUGAGUAAUGUCUGGGAAACUGCCUGAUGGAGGGGGAUAACUACUGGAAACGGUAGCUAAUACCGCAUAACGUCGCAAGACCAAAGAGGGGGACCUUCGGGCCUCUUGCCAUCGGAUGUGCCCAGAUGGGAUUAGCUAGUAGGUGGGGUAAAGGCUCACCUAGGCGACGAUCCCUAGCUGGUCUGAGAGGAUGACCAGCCACACUGGAACUGAGACACGGUCCAGACUCCUACGGGAGGCAGCAGUGGGGAAUAUUGCACAAUGGGCGCAAGCCUGAUGCAGCCAUGCCGCGUGUGUGAAGAAGGCCUUCGGGUUGUAAAGCACUUUCAGCGGGGAGGAAGGGAGCAGGCUUAAUACGUCUGUUCAUUGACGUUACCCGCAGAAGAAGCACCGGCUAACUCCGUGCCAGCAGCCGCGGUAAUACGGAGGGUGCAAGCGUUAAUCGGAAUGACUGGGCGUAAAGCGCACGCAGGCGGUCUGUUAAGUUGGAUGUGAAAUCCCCGGGCUUAACCUGGGAACUGCAUUCAAAACUGACAGGCUAGAGUCUCGUAGAGGGGGGUAGAAUUCCAGGUGUAGCGGUGAAAUGCGUAGAGAUCUGGAGGAAUACCGGUGGCGAAGGCGGCCCCCUGGACGAAGACUGACGCUCAGGUGCGAAAGCGUGGGGAGCAAACAGGAUUAGAUACCCUGGUAGUCCACGCUGUAAACGAUGUCGAUUUGGAGGUUGUGGUCUUGAACCGUGGCUUCCGGAGCUAACGCGUUAAAUCGACCGCCUGGGGAGUACGGCCGCAAGGUUAAAACUCAAAUGAAUUGACGGGGGCCCGCACAAGCGGUGGAGCAUGUGGUUUAAUUCGAUGCAACGCGAAGAACCUUACCUACUCUUGACAUCCAGAGAAGACUGCAGAGAUGCGGUUGUGCCUUCGGGAACUCUGAGACAGGUGCUGCAUGGCUGUCGUCAGCUCGUGUUGUGAAAUGUUGGGUUAAGUCCCGCAACGAGCGCAACCCUUAUCCUUUGUUGCCAGCACUUCGGGUGGGAACUCAAGGGAGACUGCCGGUGAUAAACCGGAGGAAGGUGGGGAUGACGUCAAGUCAUCAUGGCCCUUACGAGUAGGGCUACACACGUGCUACAAUGGCGUAUACAAAGAGAAGCGACCUCGCGAGAGCAAGCGGACCUCAUAAAGUACGUCGUAGUCCGGAUUGGAGUCUGCAACUCGACUCCAUGAAGUCGGAAUCGCUAGUAAUCGUAGAUCAGAAUGCUACGGUGAAUACGUUCCCGGGCCUUGUACACACCGCCCGUCACACCAUGGGAGUGGGUUGCAAAAGAAGUAGGUAGCUUAACCUUCGGGAGGGCGCUUACCACUU